rnacentral:rRNA from 2 species
CUGUGGAACCACCCGAUCCCAUCCCGAACUCGGAAGUGAAACGCAGCUGCGCCGAUGGUAGUGUGGCUCAAGCCAUGCGAGAGUAGGUCAUCGCCAGGG